GAAUCUACCAAAAGGACUGGGACAACCACUGGAAACGGUGGCUAAUACCGGAUGAACCGAAAAGUAAAAAGGGAAACCUGCCUUUUGAAGAGCUCGCGUCUGAUUAGCUAGUUGGUGAGGUAAGAGCUCACCAAGGCAGCGAUCAGUAGCUGGUCUGAGAGGAUGACCAGCCACACUGGGACUGAGACACGGCCCAGACUCCUACGGGAGGCAGCAGUGGGGAAUUUUCCGCAAUGGGCGAAAGCCUGACGGAGCAAGACCGCGUGAGGGAAGAAGGCUCUUGGGUCGUAAACCUCUUUUGUCAGGGAAGAACACAAUGACGGUACCUGAAGAAUCAGCAUCGGCUAACUCCGUGCCAGCAGCCGCGGUAAUACGGAGGAUACAAGCGUUAUCCGGAAUUAUUGGGCGUAAAGCGUCCGCAGGUGGCACUUCAAGUCUGCUGUCAAAGACCGGGGCUUAACCCUGGAAAGGCAGCGGAAACUGAAGCGCUAGAGUGUGGCAGGGGUAGAGGGAAUUCCCGGUGUAGCGGUGAAAUGCGUAGAGCUCGGGAAGAACAUCGGUGGCGAAAGCGCUCUGCUGGACUGCAACUGACACUCAGGGACGAAAGCUAGGGGAGCG
rnacentral:rRNA from 1 species